rnacentral:rRNA from 1 species
AGAGUUUGAUUCUGGCUCAGAACGAACGCUGGCGGCGUGGAUAAGACAUGCAAGUCGAACGGGAGAAUUGCUAGCUUGCUAAUAAUUCUCUAGUGGCGCACGGGUGAGUAACACGUGAGUAACCUGCCCCCAAGAGUGGGAUAGCCCCGGGAAACUGGGAUUAAUACCGCAUAAAAUCGCAAGAUUAAAGCAGCAAUGCGCUUGGGGAUGGGCUCGCGUCCUAUUAGUUAGUUGGUGAGGUAACGGCUCACCAAGGCGAUGACGGGUAGCCGGUCUGAGAGGAUGUCCGGCCACACUGGAACUGAGACACGGUCCAGACACCUACGGGUGGCAGCAGUCGAGAAUCAUUCACAAUGGGGGAAACCCUGAUGGUGCGACGCCGCGUGGGGGAAUGAAGGUCUUCGGAUUGUAAACCCCUGUCAUGUGGGAGCAAAUUAAAAAGAUAGUACCACAAGAGGAAGAGACGGCUAACUCUGUGCCAGCAGCCGCGGUAAUACAGAGGUCUCAAGCGUUGUUCGGAAUCACUGGGCGUAAAGCGUGCGUAGGCGGUUUCGUAAGUCGUGUGUGAAAGGCGGGGGCUCAACCCCCGGACUGCACAUGAUACUGCGAGACUAGAGUAAUGGAGGGGGAACCGGAAUUCUCGGUGUAGCAGUGAAAUGCGUAGAUAUCGAGAGGAACACUCGUGGCGAAGGCGGGUUCCUGGACAUUAACUGACGCUGAGGCACGAAGGCCAGGGGAGCGAAAGGGAUUAGAUACCCCUGUAGUCCUGGCAGUAAACGGUGCACGCUUGGUGUGCGGGGAAUCGACCCCCUGCGUGCCGGAGCUAACGCGUUAAGCGUCCCGCCUGGGGAGUACGGUCGCAAGAUUAAAACUCAAAGGAAUUGACGGGGACCCGCACAAGCGGUGGAGUAUGUGGUUUAAUUCGAUGCAACGCGAAGAACCUUACCUGGGUUUGACA